CGGGGUCUCUUUAAAAAUCCAGCGCCCAUCUCUGUGCUUCCCUCCCUUUCCUCCCUCCCUCCCUCCUCACUACGCCACCCCCAGCGAAAUCCUGGCACCCAGAGAGCACUCGUUUUCAACCAGAGCCCAGAAACAGCCGUUGUCCCCUGGCAAAAGAGGCCCAGUGCUGAGCCCUGGGCAAGUGUCUCCAGACAUCCCUACCUUUCUCUCCCUUUAUUAAGUCUUCUUUCCCAACAGAACCCAUUUCCUUUGCCACUAAAACUAGGUUGCAUCCAAAAGUUUCUCACAAGCUUAAAAAAGAAAAAUUGACACCAUUAUGCAGAAGAAUUCACAAAAGCUGCAGAGCGCCAGGGCAGAGAAGCAGCGUCAGACACAGGCCCAGGACACACAGAACGGAUGUUUCCAAGUCACUCCAGGGACAGCAUGAGGCUCUCGCUGGCCUGUGUCUCAGAGCUGCUUUCUCCACCUCUUCCUUGUGAAUUUCCUAGACUCUCUACCUCUGGUUCAUGUUCGCUCUCUGGAUAGUUUGUGUGCAAUGAGCCCUUAAAGGAAUAUUGCAAUGAGCUAUAAGAGUUGUGAGCCUGCGGUAGGCAAGGCCUGCACUGGGACAGCAAAGGAAAUUUCAUCGCAUCUGCUCCUAAGUCACAGGUUAUCCAGAGCCCACUUUACCCUGAGAGACAGCCUCUCCCCCACCCCUAGGAAACAGUAGAGCUUAGGAAAAUGAAUGAUUCCACAUUCAAGAGGCUUCAAAUUGUAUACUUGGCAUUUCUGAUUUCAGUUCUGAAAUUCUGUCCCUUAGUCGUGGGGAAAAUAAGAAAUGGAGUUACACCUUGUCAUUUAAAAAACCGUUGAAUUAAGAGAAAUGGAAAAUCAUGCCCACAUAAAACAUGUAUGGAAGUGUUCAUGUUUUGAUCAUGGCUGGGGAUAUAGCUCAGUCCUGGAGUGCUUGCAUAGCAAUGUGCGUAAUCCAAGGUUCAAGCCCCAGCACCAAAAAAGAGAAGUGGGAGGAGUGGAGGCAUUCACAGCAGCGUUUUCAGUAUAGGCGCAAAGGGGAAGGAGUUCAAACACCUACUGAGAAUGGAUAAGCGGAGUGCCUUGUCUAUACUCGGGAUGCUAGUCAUCAGUAGAAAAGUUUGAAAUGAUAGAUACGAUGGAUGAUCCCUUAAACAUCUCCCUAAGUAACAAAGUCAGCCUAGGAAGGCGUAUGUUCCAUAUUUCUGGGAUAUAUGGGCUCACCGAUGCAGAGAAAAGUACAGCCUGGUAUCCUGGAUUGGAGAGACAGACUGGACUUUGGGAGACAACAGAAUGGAACAGAAUUUACUUGAGUGGCGAUGUUCUUGAAUGAACGGAAGUCAUGCUUGCCCACUUGAUGACUGCAUUUACAAACCACUGAAUUUUACUUUUAGUGGGUGAAUUGCAUGGUACCUUCAUUUUAAUCUCAAUAAAGCUGCGAGUAUUUUUAAGAGAUUUCUAAA